AGGGGAAUAGCUGGGUCAAACAGUAGUUCCAUUCCCAGAUUUUCAAGGAAUCUCCAUACUGCUUUCCAAAUUGGCUGCACCAAUUUUCAGUCCCACCAGCAAU
rnacentral:pre_miRNA from 1 species